AAAAUAAUAAUUGGUUGGACGAAGAAACUAAGAAAGGAGCUCAAGAAAAGUUUUCUGCUGCGACAUUCCAGAUUGGAGUACCGAAAGUGUUUUUGAAUAAUACUUACGUCUUAGAUGAUGUAUAUCGAAACUUGUUGUUGAACAACGAAAAUUAUUUUGACAACGCAUUGGAAGCUCACAGAUGGUCAACCCAAUUCUCCUUCUCUCGGCUUCGUAUACCUUUCGUAAAAGGACAG